rnacentral:lncRNA from 1 species
UCCAGUUCUCUCAUCUCAGUUCCUAUUUGCGAUUUUCUUCUUGCUUCGCUAUUUCAAGAAUUCAAGGUGUCAUCUUUUUUGGGUGAGUUUUUCAAUUAUUUUGGGCUUCUUUGGAUCCCUAUGUCGGAGUUUUCUCCACUUUCUAUGUUUGGAAUUCUUUCAUGAAUUCUGUUCUUUUUUGCUUUUACGUUCUGCUUGUACAAUCUUCUAGCCUAGUAACUUUUCUCUCUUGUUCUUCUCUUGCACCAUGUUCUAGCUUCACUUUUGAAUUUUUCUGAAAGUUUGUCCAUAUUUGGUUCAAUGUUAUUUUUUCUAUUCUUUUUCAUAAUUUAUUGCUAGAUUUUCUACAUGCAUGUAUAGAAUUCUAUCUGAUUUUGAUAUGUUUGGCAAGAAAUAUUUGUGAAUUUUUUGUUCUUUUGGAGUGGGUAGAACUAAAUUUGCGUUUUAUGGAAUUCUUUUAUUAAAAUGUCUGAAAUGUGAUAGUCACUCAAUGUGUUUGCAUUAAUUCAUGAGAGAGAUGCACUUUGUAUGGUAAACUUUCCAGUUGCCACCCAUUUCCAUUUCUGUGUUUAUUUUCUUAAAUAAGAAUGCACCUCUGUAUACAUGUUUUUUCACUAUGUUUGAGAGUGUUUCUAUUUUGUUAAUAUUGUUCCGUGAAUUUUUUUUUAUUUUUUUCUCUUACGCCUUGUUAAAAACCUGAAGUAAUGAUCGGUUUGGUCAUUUUUUGGUAUAACGUUUUGAGUCAAUUACUCAAAUGAUCACUCAACUAUCCCAAAUUAUCUCCUAAAGUUAUUUUUCUUUCGUUUGUAACAACAAAGUCACUGAACUAUGCCUAUUGCACUCAGAAGGUCACUCAACUAGAUUUUUUAAAUUUUGGAUUGUCAAGUACCUAUUUUACCUUCUAAAUUAUAAACAUUUAUCUUCUUUUUAUUUUUUUAAAACUUUUUAGUAUUAACAACAAAAAUUCAAAAAUUUAUUUACACAAUCCAGAAUGAAAGAAAAUAAAGGUUGUAAAAUAUAUAUUCUAUGCACAUAAUAUAAAAAUACAACAACAACAACCCAGUAUAAUCUCACUAGUGGGGUCUAGGGAGGGUAAUAUGUACGCAGACCUUACCCCUACCCUCGGAUAGAGAGGAUAUUUCCGAUAGACCCUCGGUUCUCUCCCUCCAAAUAAUUAUUUUUAUAUUAUUAUUUUUAUAUUUUUAAAUAAUAUAAAAAUAAUUAUUUAAAUAAAGGUAUUUAUAUAAUAUACAUUAUAUAUUCUUGAAAAUUAUGCUCAAUUAUACUAUUAUGUUUCUACUAGCUUUCCGACGGCACAAAGUUAUGUCACCGGAAAACAGGGGGACUAUUAGCUUCUUAUCUUUUGCUUUGUUUGGUGAUACAGGUGUAAAGUAUAUAUUUUCUUCUUCUUUUUUUAAGAUUUUUUUAAUCAACGAACCUGUUUUUAUUCAAUAUCAAAAAGGAGUACAAAAUGCAGAAGAGUUGGCAUCCCAAACUCUCUGUCCCUACCGAGGUGGAACAUGCUCCAUCCAAUACAUAUGUAGGUCAUCAGAUUUGUUCACAAAAAGAGAGAUAGGGAGUGAGACAUCCUCCCUAUGCUACAAAAAAGAAAAUCAAAGUACAUCAAAAUUAUAUAGUCUAAGCAGUUAUCGAUCCAUGUUAACCUUCCCUAUGGCCUCUCUUGGGAGAUGUUGAAAGAUUGUGUACAGGUGAUGGGGCUACAAUAUAAACCACAACUAGAUAAAUUGUCUGCCACUUUGUUACCUUCCCUGUUGUAGUGAUUCACCUUUGUCUCAUCAAAUAUCUCUAUUUUGCUUCUUAUGUUUUUCACUUCAUUUUGUAAUCUCCAGGGUAUAUGAUGGUAGGCUAUAAUUACGUAUUUCAGUCGCUUAUUGUACUCUAAUUGGCUGCACUUUCUUUGUGUUGAGCUUUAACUAGUAGUGUUUUGCACUUAUUGUGUGUUUUAUGCUUUGUAGGAGUAAUUUUGAGAUAUGUAGAUGUUGUGGAGAUAAUUCAAGCUAUUUGGAGCUUUGAACUCUGAGUAAAAGCCAAAGGAAUUAAGCCGGGAUCGUGUUCGGGGGUAGAGGAGCAAGUCUGGACGUCAAAACGCAAGAUUUGAGCCGUACUUUGAGAAAUUUGCACUAGUGCAACGCAGGGUGCGAGGCAUAGUGCGACACAGCAGUGUAUUUUUGUUGCCUGUUGAAUUGUUGAACUUCUUGAAGUUCCCCACUAGCACCCUGUGUGGCGCGUCACCCCAUGCACGCCUGUGUAAUUUUUCCACAGCGAUUGUCCUAUUUCGGCUGGGAAAGGGGUGAUUUCGUCUAGGCCCGGCCCUACUUGGUAUAAAUACAUGGGAAAACGUUAUUUUAUAGACUUUUAACAUACUUUUAGACCUAAGGACGCUAAGGAGGAGUUGGAAGAACAUAA